AAACCUGUGAUAUGCGGGUCAGAUUUACUGAUGAUGCUGGUGUUUUUGAGGAUGGAAUUGAUACAGGUGGUCCAAGACGAGAGUUUCUAACUCUACUGAUGAACCAUCUUAAAGACCGACCAAUUUUUGAUGGACCAACAGGACAACGUUACUUAGUCUACAAUGCAAAUGAUUUAAAAAUGGUCUUUCAGCUCUUCAGUUUUUGACUGCACUGCAGCAGCAUCCUACUUUGAUGAUCCCUGUGCUGUGCCACUCAGAAAAGAAGGUCACUGCUCUUGAACUUGAGGGACUUUUCAAACCUGACCUCAGUCCAUCAGGGAGCAACAGGAGACUCAGCGAAGGACAAACGUUAGGCUACUGGGCUGACUAUCUCCUUGAUUGUGAAGAAGGUCAGGCUGCUGUUUGCGUGGAAGAUGUUUUCAUGUUUGCAACUGGACUAACUUCACUUCCCCCAUCUGGAUUGGAACCACUGCCAAGGAUUGAGUUCCUGGAUGAUUCACUGUUCCCAAUGGCAAACACGUGUUCAAACACAAUGAAAUUACCA